UGGCCGGCGGCGUGCUAUACAUGCAAGUCGAGCGAGCAGAACCAGCAGAUUUACUUCGGUAAUGACGCUGGGGACGCGAGCGGCGGAUGGGUGAGUAACACGUGGGGAACCUGCCCCAUAGUCUGGGAUACCACUUGGAAACAGGUGCUAAUACCGGAUAAGAAAGCAGAUCGCAUGAUCAGCUUAUAAAAGGCGGCGUAAGCUGUCGCUAUGGGAUGGCCCCGCGGUGCAUUAGCUAGUUGGUAAGGUAACGGCUUACCAAGGCAAUGAUGCAUAGCCGAGUUGAGAGACUGAUCGGCCACAUUGGGACUGAGACACGGCCCAAACUCCUACGGGAGGCAGCAGUAGGGAAUCUUCCACAAUGGACGCAAGUCUGAUGGAGCAACGCCGCGUGAGUGAAGAAGGUUUUCGGAUCGUAAAGCUCUGUUGUUGGUGAAGAAGGAUAGAGGUAGUAACUGGCCUUUAUUUGACGGUAAUCAACCAGAAAGUCACGGCUAACUACGUGCCAGCAGCCGCGGUAAUACGUAGGUGGCAAGCGUUGUCCGGAUUUAUUGGGCGUAAAGCGAGCGCAGGCGGAAGAAUAAGUCUGAUGUGAAAGCCCUCGGCUUAACCGAGGAACUGCAUCGGAAACUGUUUUUCUUGAGUGCAGAAGAGGAGAGUGGAACUCCAUGUGUAGCGGUGGAAUGCGUAGAUAUAUGGAAGAACACCAGUGGCGAAGGCGACUCUCUGGUCUGCAACUGACGCUGAGGCUCGAAAGCAUGGGUAGCGAACAGGAUUAGAUACCCUGGUAGUCCAUGCCGUAAACGAUGAGUGCUAAGUGUUGGGAGGUUUCCGCCUCUCAGUGCUGCAGCUAACGCAUUAAGCACUCCGCCUGGGGAGUACGACCGCAAGGUUGAAACUCAAAGGAAUUGACGGGGGCCCGCACAAGCGGUGGAGCAUGUGGUUUAAUUCGA
rnacentral:rRNA from 1 species